AACGCACAUUGCGCCCUUCGGAAAUUCCGGGGGGCAUGCCUGUUCGAGCGUCAUUAAACCUCUCAAGCACUGCUUGGUAUUGGGUCGUCCCGCUCCCCGCUACUCCGGGGAGCAGGUGCCCAAAAUUCAGGGGCGGUCCGGGGAGACUUCAAGCGCAGUAACUGCAUCCGCUUCGAAAGCUUCCCCCCGUGGCUUGCCCAGCGAACCUCUCGUUUCUAGAAUUGACCUCGGAUCAGGUAGGGAUACCCGCUGAACUUAA
rnacentral:misc_RNA from 1 species